rnacentral:rRNA from 11 species
CAAAACGACUCUCGGCAACGGAUAUCUCGGCUCUCGCAUCGAUGAAGAACGUAGCGAAAUGCGAUACUUGGUGUGAAUUGCAGAAUCCCGUGAACCAUCGAGUCUUUGAACGCAAGUUGCGCCCAAAGCCUUCUGGUUGAGGGCACGUCUGCCUGGG